rnacentral:rRNA from 1 species
GAUGAACGCUGGCGGCGUGCUUAACACAUGCAAGUCGAACGAAGCRCUUUCUUACGAUCCCUUCGGGGUGACGAGUUAGUGACUGAGUGGCGGACGGGUGAGUAACGCGUGGGUAACCUGCCUUAUACAGGGGGAUAACAGUUGGAAACGGCUGCUAAUACCGCAUAAGCGCACAGUACCGCAUGGUACAGUGUGAAAAACUCCGGUGGUAUAAGAUGGACCCGCGUCUGAUUAGCUAGUUGGUGAGGUAACGGCCCACCAAGGCGACGAUCAGUAGCCGAUCUGAGAGGAUGAACGGCCACAUUGGGACUGAGACACGGCCCAGACUCCUACGGGAGGCAGCAGUGGGGAAUAUUGCACAAUGGGCGAAAGCCUGAUGCAGCGACGCCGCGUGAGUGAUGAAGUAUUUCGGUAUGUAAAGCUCUAUCAGCAGGAAGAU